GUGUUGAUUCCUCUGCUCGGGGUCCACGAGAUCGUCUUCACUUUAAUUAUAGAUGAAUCGGUCGAGGGAAGCAACCGCUACGCCCGAAACGUCGUCCAUCUGACCCUGAGCUCUUUCCAGGGUCUUUUAGUUGCAGUGCUGUACUGCUUUGCAAAUGGAGAGGUCCAGGCUGAGCUGAAGAAGAGGUGGCAGCUGUUUCGCCGACAUUCACCCCAAACACCUGUGGAAGAGCUCGCAGAAGAGACCUGGACAAACCACAGAGCAGAGCGAAUCCAAUGAGGAGGGAACACAGGGACAUCAGCUGCAGGUGGCCGUCCAAUCAGCAGAGGACUUGGUGUGUGGGCGGAGCUCCGGCCUGGAGUUUUACAUGAGGAGGAGCCUCUCCAGCAGCGACGGGGAGAUGACUUUAGGAGAGACCAUGGAGGAGAUCACA